AUUGAACGCUGGCGGCAUGCUUUACACAUGCAAGUCGAACGGUAACAGGCCGCAAGGUGCUGACGAGUGGCGAACGGGUGAGUAAUGCAUCGGAACGUGCCCAGUCGUGGGGGAUAACGCAGCGAAAGCUGCGCUAAUACCGCAUACUAUCUCUGGAUGAAAGCGGGGGACCUAAAAGCCUCGCGCGAUAGGAGCGGCCGAUGUCAGAUUAGGUAGUUGGUGGGGUAAAGGGCCACCAAGCCAACGAUCUGUAGCUGGUCUGAGAGGACGACCAGCCACACUGGGACUGAGACACGGCCCAGACUCCUACGGGAGGCAGCAGUGGGGAAUUUUGUACAAUGGGCGCAAGCCUGAUCCAGCAAUGCCGCGUGCAGGAAGAAGGCCUUCGGGUUGUAAACUGCUUUUGUACGGAACGAAACGGUCCGGGUUAAUACCCUGGGCUGAUGACGGUACCGUAAGAAUAAGCACCGGCUAACUACGUGCCAGCCGCCGCGGUAAGAC
rnacentral:rRNA from 1 species